CCUGCCCCUACCCACGACAGAAUGGAGGGACGCCACUGCUGUACGCUGUGCGUGGGAACCACGUGAAAUGCGUUGAGGCCUUGCUGGCCCGAGGCGCUGACCUCACCACCGAAGCCGACUCUGGCUACACCCCGAUGGACCUUGCCGUGGCCCUGGGAUACCGGAAAGUGCAACAGGUGAUCGAGAACCACAUCCUCAAGCUCUUCCAGAGCAACCUGGUGCCCGCUGACCCUGAGUGAAGGCCGCCUGCCGGGGACUCAGACACUCAGGGAACAAAAUGGUCAGCCAGAGCUGGGGAAACCCAGAACUGGCUUCAAAGGCAGCUCCUGGACAGGUGGUGGGAGGGGACCCUUCCCAAGAGGAACCAAUAAACCUUCUGUGCAGAAUGA
rnacentral:sRNA from 1 species